CCUACGGGUGGCAGCAGUGAGGAAUAUUGGUCAAUGGACGCGAGUCUGAACCAGCCAAGUAGCGUGAAGGAUGACUGCCCUAUGGGUUGUAAACUUCUUUUAUAUGGGAAUAAAAUGAGGCACGUGUGCCUUUUUGUAUGUACUUUAUGAAUAAGGAUCGGCUAACUCCGUGCCAGCAGCCGCGGUAAUACGGAGGAUCCGAGCGUUAUCCGGAUUUAUUGGGUUUAAAGGGAGCGUAGAUGGGUUGUUAAGUCAGUUGUGAAAGUUUGCGGCUCAACCGUAAAAUUGCAGUUGAUACUGGCAGUCUUGAGUACAGUUGAGGUAGGCGGAAUUCGUGGUGUAGCGGUGAAAUGCUUAGAUAUCACGAAGAACUCCGAUUGCGAAGGCAGCUUACUAAACUGCAACUGACAUUGAUGCUCGAAAGUGUGGGUAUCAAACAGGAUUAGAUACCCUAGUAGUC
rnacentral:rRNA from 1 species